UACGUGAGGGGCGAGCGUUGUCCGGAUUUAUUGGCGUAAAGAGCUCGUAGGCGGCUGUUCGAGUCGGGUGAUGAAUCCUGAGGCUUAACCUUGGGUCUGCAUUCGAUACUGGGCGGCUUGAGUUCUGGUGAGGGGGAUCGUGGAAUUCCUGGUGUAGCGGUGGAAUGCGCAGAUAUCAGGAGAACACCCGUGGCGAAGGCGGCUGCCUCUGGGAACG
rnacentral:rRNA from 1 species